UCGGGCGUGGUGUGUGGUGCACACUCCUUUCCAUUGUCGGUGAACAGGAGAGAUGAGGGGAAUAGGCCUGGUUCGAUUCCCGGCGCCCGAA